rnacentral:rRNA from 1 species
GGAAGGAAACUGGACGACCUUCGGGAGCUGUACAGGUGCUGCAUGGCUGUCGUCAGCUCGUGUCGUGAGAUGUUCGGUUAAGUCCGCUAACGAGCGCAACCCUCGCUGUGUGUUACAAGUGUCACACGGAACUGCCGGUCAUAAACCGGAGGAAGGUGGGGAUGACGUCAAGUCAGCAUGGCCUUUAUAUCCUGGGCUACACACACGCUACAAUGGGAAGGGACAAUAGGUUGCGAAGCCGCGAGGCGGAGCCAAUCCAGCAAAACUUCCCUCAGUUCAGAUUGCAGGCUGCAACCCGCCUGCAUGAAGUUGGAGUUGCUAGUAAACGCAGGUCAGCCAUACUGCGUUGAAUACGUUCCCGGGGCUU